AUUGAACGCUGGCGGCAGGCCUAACACAUGCAAGUCGAGCGGGGUUUUCGGACCUAGCGGCGGACGGGUGAGUAAUGCGUAGGAAGCUGCCCGAGAGAGGGGGAUACCAGUUGGAAACGACUGUUAAUACCGCAUAAUGUCUACGGCUCAAAGUGUGGGAUCUUCGGGCCACAUGCUAUCGGAUGCGCCUACGUGGGAUUAGCUAGUUGGUGAGGUAAUGGCUCACAAAGUCGACGAUCUCUAGCUGGUUUGAGAGGAUGAUCAGCCACACUGGAACUGAGACACGGUCCAGACUCCUACGGGAGGAAGCAGUGGGGAAUAUUGGACAAUGGGCGCAAGCCUGAUCCAGCCAUGCCGCGUGUGUGAAGAAGGCCUUCGGGUUGUAAAGCACUUUCAGCGAGGAGGAAGGGUGGUGUGUUAAUAGCACAUCAUUUUGACGCUACUCGCAGAAGAAGCACCGGCUAACUCUGUGCCAGCAGCCGCCGUAAAAC
rnacentral:rRNA from 1 species